UUUUGUAAAGAAAGGCUUUAUGUAUGGGUUUUUGAGGCAAGGAGAAAACAGAAAAUGCAGAGGGAGAGAAUGAUUAGUCAGGUUCAUUGCAUUCCCUCUGGUGAUCAUAUUCUCAUGACGGCUUCUUCUUCUAAACACAUUUCUCAUAUCAGAUUCUACAAAGCCUGGAAGGGUAACAGUAGAUUUUGCUGUGGUGGUAGAGCUUCUUUCAACUAUACAUACAAGUCAUUGCGUAUUGUGGUCUUCCCCCUUAACCACUCGGACAAACCUGCUUGUCGUUAAUAAACUCUUCAUAUUGUAUUUUAUAUACGCCGCAAUCUUAUGUGGUUGCAUACUAAUAAUCCUUCCUUAUCUUCGGGUCCAUUGGGUUAUUGUACAAAUUGAUUUGCUAACUAAUCUUCAA